UACUUUCAAAUAAAAUAAUAUGUUCCUUGAAAUUAAAUAAACAAAACAUUGCAUUUCAUGCAUCAUUUGCAUAACAGGUUUUCUUCUGCCAAAUGUCUUAUCGGUUAUUCUUCUGUGCUUCAGCCAAGCUGACUCACUGAUACAACACUCACGCCAGUCAACUUAGAAUCAUGGAACAUUUGGAACAAGAGAACAGAGAGCUGAAGGAUGAGAUUGCACGAUUGAAUGCUAUGAUGGAGUUUGUUCUUGCUGCGCAUAAUCACUCUUCACCAACUCCCGCAACUUCUCCCCAGAGGACUGUCAUCUCCGUG
rnacentral:lncRNA from 1 species